UACUAGGAUGGGUGACCUCCCGGG
rnacentral:siRNA from 1 species